rnacentral:rRNA from 1 species
UACGAAGGGGGCUAGCGUUGCUCGGAAUUACUGGGCGUAAAGGGCGCGUAGGCGGAUAGUUUAGUCAGAGGUGAAAGCCCAGGGCUCAACCUUGGAAUUGCCUUUGAUACUGGCUAUCUUGAGUUCGGGAGAGGUGAGUGGAAUGCCGAGUGUAGAGGUGAAAUUCGUAGAUAUUCGGAAGAACACCAGUGGCGAAGGCGGCUCACUGGUCCGGUACUGACGCCGAGGUGCGAAAGCGUGGGGAGCAAACAGG